CUCAAACCAAAAUUACAGUGAUGUCAUGUUACCAGAACUUUCUGUAUGGAUCCCACAGCUCCCCGUGUGAACCCACUGAUGGCAUCUAACAUACCAGUUAGGCCACACUAUAUGUAUUUCUUCAUUUAUUCAGGAUUUAUUAGCUUCUAUGUGCCAAUUACUGUGCCACAUAUUAGGCAUAUAAAGGUGAAUAACUACAGGUUUCUAAUUUAGAUAAGUUCAUUUUUCAGGGAAACUGAGAGCUGCCUGGUAACUUUUUUCACAUUGUCUAGGUCUUGCCAGUAAAAGUGACCAAAAUGGAAAUGAUUGCAUUCAUUACUUCAUUUCAACAGUAAUGAAUUUAUUCUAUCAUUCAAUCUAUACUACUGUGAGCUGUUUACGGGCAAUUGAAAAUGGUGCUGCCAGAACAAUUUCUUCAUUUUGAUACCUGAAGGAGAAGGCUAGAGAUUAGAAGAUCAGAGUUAGGAGAUAAGUUGUAUCACCAUGUAUGUUAAACUAAAGCCCCCAACAAGACCUACCUGAGAUAUAGCCUCCCCCAAAAAGAGAAAAUAGUUUGGGAAAACUGAAAUGGCCAUGUUUCCAAAUGAAACCACAAUAACAACUAAUAUUGUAUUGUCAUUUUAGGUUAUUAAGCCAUUUCACAUACAAUAUCUGUGUAAGUUAAACAGACAAGAUAUUUUUAUCCCCAUUUAUGUUUGUAAAUGGGGAAAUGAUAGAUUGUGUUGGCAGAAAACUGGCUCAUUAUAGGGAGGAAAAUGAAGCUGGCCUCCUACCUUAUAUGCUUUGCAUAGGUAAACUCCAGAUGGAAGACCAAAAUGUGGGAAUCUAUUAACAAAGCUAAGAGAAGAAAGCACAGGCCCAUAUCUUUAUGUUCUAGGAGUAAGGAAAGAUUUCUGAAAGAAGAUCCCAAAAUGAAAACUCACACCAUAGAGCAAAAUAAUUUUUGGAUAAAUAUAACCACAAUAAAAUCUAGGGCUUCUGCUCAACAAAGGAUACAAUAGACAUAAUUAAUAGGCUGGCUGAAGAUACAUACACGUUUUUUUAAACCCUGUACAUUAACAACUUAUGCUAGGAAAACAAUUUUUAAAAUAGUCAAAGAAGACAGCAAUUUUCAGAAACAAAGCCCAAAUAGCUAAGCAGAAUAUGAAGAGGUGCUAAAACUCACUUUCAAGCAGAAAAAAUAUAAAUUAAAACAAAAUACCAUUUUGCACCCAUCCAAAUGGCAAAACAGAAGAAAAGAGAAUAAUACCAAAUGUUGGCAAGGCAUGUGAGAGUAAAACCUGAUAUCGCCAUUUGGCAAAGAAAGUUAAUGGUUUUUAGAAAAUACAGGGGUGUGUCUGCUUUAUCAGAGUAAGAGCUUACAGAAUAAUGGCUCACAAAGCCCUACAUGAUCUAGCUACCUGAUACCUUUGCAACUUUAUCUUCUUUCACUCCUUUUCUUCUUCCUCCCUCUGCUACUUGUCUCUAUGCAUUUUCUCAAACACACUAGCAGCCUCCUGUCUCAAAGCAUUUGCAUGUGCUGUUCUCUCUUCCUAGUAUACCUUUCCCUCAGCCAUCCAUGUGGUUCAUUUCCUCACCUCCUUUCUUUGUUCAUGAAGGCCUACCUUGACCACUUCAUUUGAAAUUGCACAUCACAUCUUCUCCUCCACCCACUUCCAAACUCCCUUAACCUGCUCUAUUUUUUCUCUUCCCUGAGGCAUGUAUCACCUUUUAUCAUAAUAUAUAAUUUGCUUGUUUAGUAUUUUAUUGUCUAUUCUCUGUCUUGCCUUACUAAAGUAACAGUUCCAUGAGAGCAGAGACCAUAGUUUGUUUUUGUUUUUGUUUUUUUUCCAGUAUUGCAUCCCAAAGACCUAAAAUAGUGCCUGGCAUAUAAUAGUCACUCAGUACAUAUUUUGUGAUCAUCGAAUGAAUAAUUGUUGCAUUUUAUCAAUUCCUGAGCAAGCAAGUUUCUUUUGCUCACGAACAAGUUAGGUUCACAGGUCCAUGCAUGUGUUAAGUCCAGGUUGACUAGGGGCUUUCCUCUUAUAGACAUAAGAUGCAUUUACAGCAAAUAGAAAAAUGCUUGUUCAGAUUUUCUUAAUGUAUACCUUUACCUCCAUGCUGACACAUUCCAUUGUGCAUCUAUUUUUAAAAAACCCAAAAGAACAGUUUCAUUUGUGUUGGAAAUCUGUUGUAAUAGGCCACACUCCUCCUUGAUGAUCUCCACAGCUUUGUAGAGGUAUUCAUGGCACCUGCACUACCAGCAUCACCUCUGAUGAUUGCCCAGCGUGACACAGCUUUGAACCAAUGCAUUUCAUCCAAGAGCUGCAACAAAAGUUCAUCAGCUGUGCUUAACUAUCACCUCCCUUGCUCUUGGAUGAGCAUUAGCUCAACAGGCUUCAGACACUAACUCUGAUCUUCUAUCCACAUACUUAAAAUUGUUGUACUUUGUCAAUCACCAUUUCUGGAUUACCUUCAAUUACUCCAGAGCUGCGCUUUUCACAGGUUGCAUGGUUCAUUCUUUAUCCUUCAGCAUCACUUCUACUCGAAAAAAAUAUGUUCCACAAGACAGUGUCAUUUGUCAUGUUCCUGCCUCUUUCAUUUUUGAAAAUUAUCUUUUCUUUCCAUUAUAGCCUUUCUCUUACUAGUAAAAUGGAGCAAAUAAUGUGAGUAAAAUACCUAAAAACUACAGGCAUACUUUGGCAAUAUUGCAGGUUUAUUUCCAGACCAUUGCAAUAAAGUGUAUUUUGCAAUAAAGGAAGUCACAUGAAUGUUUUAGUUUUCCAGUGCACAUAAAAAUUGUUUACACUGUUCUGUAUGUAGUCUAUUAAGUAUUCAAUAGCAUUUUAUCUAAAGAAAAAAUGUACAUACCUUAGUAUAAAAAUCCUUUAUUGCUAAAAAUGCUAAUGAUCAUCUGAACCUUCAGCAAGUUGUCAUCUUUUUGCUAGUGGAGGGCCUUGCCUCAGUGUUGACAUCUGCUGACUAAUCAGGGAUAUGGUUGCUGAAGGUUGGGAUAGCUGUGGCAAUAUCAUAAAAUAAGACAACAGGCUGGGCAAAGUGACUCACGCCUAUAAUUCCAACACUUUGGGGAGCCAAGGCAAGAGGAUCACGGCAGCCAGGGGUUCAAGACCAGCCUGGACAACAUAGUGAGACACCCCCUUCCCUACAAACAAAUCAGCCAGGCAUAGUAGUACCUGCCUGUAGUCCUAGGUACUUGGGAGACUGAGGCAGGAGGAUCCCUAAGCCUGGGAGGCUGAGGUUGCAGUGAGCUUUGAUCAUACCACUAUACUCCAGCCUGGGCAACAGAGAGAGACACUAUCUCAAAUAAAAUAAAAAUAAAAUGAAAUGAAAUAAUAAAAUAAAUUUUAAAGCUUGC
rnacentral:lncRNA from 10 species